CUGAGCCAACAUGAAUGGAAUUAGUGCUCUUAUAAAAGAGGCUCCAGAGAGAUCUUUAGCCCUUCAACAAUGUGAGGACACAGCAAGCAGUAGUCCACCCACACUGAAUCUGCUGGAGCCUUGAUUUUGGACUUCCCAGCCCCCAGAACUGUGAGCAAUAAAUUUCUGUUGUUUAUAAGCUACCGGUCUGUGGUAUUUUGUUAUAGCAGCCGUAACAGACUAAGAAAAAUGCCAUAACAUGAUCUCCCUUUAAACUGUCACUCUCAUAGCUAUUGAAGAUUGGACUGGAGAAGGGGCAAGUGUGAACACAGAGUGGCCAGUGAGAAAGCUUUUCGGUUGUCCAGAGAGAUACAACAGUGGCUUGGACCAGGGCAAUGACAAUGCAGAUGGAGAGAAGUGGACAAAUUCAACACCUAUUUUGAAGAGACCGUUCUAGGAGACCAGUCAAGAUGUGGCAGGAGAACCCAUUCCUGACUGGACCUGCGAGGGUGUGGCCCCGAGGAGGCGGCUAUAGAGGAAAACCUGGCAAACAGGCUAGAAUUCAGGAGCCGAGGAAGAACAGUUAAUGGAGACAUGCUCUGCCUCUUUGCAGAUUGACUCAAGAACUGGGACUGGCCUGAGCCUUCAAGGAGCUAGGCAAGUGGCAGAGGAUAUGAGAUUUAACCUAACAACAAGGAACUCAGAAUAGACUUUACAGGCUCAAUGGAGCUAAUCUUUUAGAAGAAUGUCAUCAAUGGUAUCCGAGAAAACUCAAGGGAAAAACGGAGGCAGAAAGGGGACUCAGGAAAGUACUGCAUCAAUCUAUUCAGAAAGUAACAUGGAAUUGGAUAUUACUGACCUGUAAAUUCUAUCCUUGAAACAUUAAUUAUGUGGUACAUUUUUCGAGUAAGAGUCAUAUAACCGUUAUUUUAUAUUUGCAGUACUUUGAAAAUUUACAUGACAUAUUACCAUCUAUUACUGUGAUGCUUAAUUAUACUUAUUUAACUCUAUCCUUACCUUAGGCUGAAACCACCUUAAAUGGGAUGGCAGGCCAGAUCUAGUAGUUCUCAAAGUAUGUUCCAGGAACCAGUACAAGCAGCAUCAAGUGAGCACUUGUUAGAAAUUCAAAUCUUUAGAUGCUAUCCCAGACCUACUGAAUCACAAACUCUGUGGAUGGAGUCUACCAAUUGGGGUUUUAAGUCUUGCAAGUGGUUCUAAAACACUCUAAGGUUUGACAACCACUUCUUCAGGCAUUUCAGACUUAGACCUCUUUAGAGCCUGUUUAGGAAAAAAAUACUCUUCUGUUUUCUGUCAACUCACAGCACUACUCUCACUUCAGAUCACCAAAUGUGUGAUUUUUUUUUCCCACACCAAACAAUUCUGCCACACCAGCUGGGUGACCUACAUUUAAACUGAGUUCUGACACUACCUGGAGAUAGUGUCAGAUUCAACAGGUUAAAGUCUUGUGGGACUGAGCCCCACUCCCUGACAUCAGUCACCAGUUGCAAGUUCAAGUUGUUACCUGUGCUUCUGACCUAUAAGCAGUAAAUUGGGGGCUCAUAUAACCCCAUCCUGGGGCUUGAUUAAUUUGCUAGAGCAGCUCACACAACUCAAGAAAACAGUUUACUUACUGGAUUGCCAGUUUAUUAUAAAAGAAUAUAACUCAGGAACAGCCAGGUGGAAGAGGUACAUAGGGUUCAGUAUGGGGAAAGGACUCAGCUUCCAUGCCCUGUCUAGGCUCACUACCCUCUCAGCACCUCCAUGUAUUCACCAACAUGGAAGCUCUUCAAACCAGUUGGUUUUGGGUUUUUAUGGAGGCUUCAUUAGCCACUGAUUCAACCUCCAGUCCCUCUCCCCUCACCAGAGGUCCCUAUCCUUAGGAGCUUUCCGAAAGUCAUCAUAUUAACAUAAACUCAGAGGUGGUUGAAAGGAUACCUGUUUCAUUCUGGAGCUAUUUCAGAAGCUGAGAAGGAAAGGUAUCCCUAUAACCCUUAUUGCUCAGGAAACUACAAAGGUUUUAGGAAUUAUGUGCCAAAACUGUGGAGGAAGACCAAAUAUAUAUUUUUUAAAUCACAAUAUCAUUGUGGUCUGGCAGAGAUUUUUGUUAAAAACCAGUGAGGUGGGAAUUCCCUGGUAAUCCAGUGGUUAGGACUCUGUGCUUUGACUGCUGAGGGCCUGGGUUCAAUCCGAGGCCAAAAAAAAAAAAAAAAACCAGGGAGGCAAAAUGGUUUUUUUGUCUGUUCAGGCUGCUAUAACAAAAUGUCAUAGACUGGGUAGCUUACUUAUAAACAACAGAAAUUUAUUUCUCACAGUUCUGGAAGCUGGGAAGUCCAAGAUCAAGGUGAUGGCCAAUUCAAUGUCUAGUGAGAAGCUGCUAGUGAGAAGCUGCUUCCUCAUAGACCAUAGUCUGCUCACUGUAAUCUCAUUUGGCGGAAGGGAUGAGAGAGCUCCCUGGGGCCUCUUUUAUAGGGGAACUUAAUCCCAUUCAUCAUGACCUAAUCACCCCCAAAGGCCCCACCUCCAAACACUAUCACAUGGGGGAUGAGGUUUCAACAUAUGAAUUUUGCGGGGGCACAAACAUUCAGUCCAUAACAAUGGCUAACUAUAAAUAGUGGGGGUUUGCAGCUGGUCAGGACUGGAGUCAAACUGGGGCUCCAGUACUUGUUAGUUGUAUAGGAUCUUGAGCGAGUUGCUUAGCCUUUCUGAACCUCAGAUUCCUCACACAGAAAAUAGAAACAAUAAUAUCUACCUUGAGAGGUUACUAUGAACUCUGAAGUCUAUGUACCUAGAUGGUAAUCAGGAGUGCUGACUCUGGUGUCAGACCCAGUUCAAAUGCCAGCUCUUCUAUUGACUGUGUGAUCUUGGGAAAAUUACUAAACCUCUCUGUGUUUCAGAUUUCUCAUCUGUAAAGUGAGUAAUAAUAUACUUUCUUCAUAGGGUUGUUGUGAGGAUUCAAUGAGUCAAUAUUAUCAAUGGCUUAGAAGACUGCCUGUCCCAUAAUUGCUCAAUAAUUAUGUUUAUAAUAAUAGAAAUACAAAUAACAACACUGAUAAUAAUAAAAUACAUCACAUAGAAUACCUAGACCUAGAAUAUGGUAGAUAUUAAAUAUUUGGUAGCAAUUAUUAUUACUAUUAUUAAAAAUUUUUUGGCUUCACUGCAUGGCUUAUGGAAUCUUAGUUCCCCAACCUGGACCCUUGGCAGUGAAAGCGCCAAGUCCUAAACACUGGACCACCAGGGAAUUCCCAGUAGCAAUUAUUAUUGUUAUCAUUAUAAAAUUCUCAACAAGCAUAGGGUUAUAAGAGGCUCCAGUAUAUAGGCACCCCCUGAUACUUUCAUAUAGUCUUUACAUUCUAAUGACUCCCGUCCCCUAUGAAUAAGCUCUAUGGAUUAUAUCAACAUCAAUUUUCUAGUUUUGAUAGUGUACUAUAGUUACUCAAGAUGCUACCAUGGGAGGAGAUGGAGCUGAGUAAAGGAUAUAUAGAACCUCCCUGUACAUUUUUUAUUUUUUUGGAAAUGCCUGUGAAUCUGUAAUUAUUAAAAAAUAAAAAGUAAAGAAGAAAAAAAAAAAAGAUAGGGGUAGG